rnacentral:rRNA from 1 species
GUAGGGAAUAUUGCGCAAUGGACGAAAGUCUGACGCAGCGACGCCGCGUGAGUGAUGAAGGCCUUAGGGUCGUAAAGCUCUGUUGAAUGGGAAGAAAAAAAUGACGGUACCAUUCGAGGAAGGACCGGCUAACUUCGUGCCAGCAGCCGCGGUAAUACGAGGGGUCCUAGCGUUGGUCGGAAUCAUUGGGCGUAAAGGGUGUGUAGGUGGCCAUGUAAGUCAGGUGUGAAAGCCCCGGGCUCAACCCGGGAAGUGCACUUGAUACUGCGUGGCUUGAGUACCGAAGAGGGUAGUGGAAUUCCAGGUGUAGUGGUGAAAUACGUAGAUAUCUGGAGGAACACCGGUGGCGAAGGCGGCUACCUGGUCGAGUACUGACACUGAGACGCGAAAGCAUGGGGAUCAAACAGGAUUAGAUACCCGAGUAGUCC